AGUGAGAGUCAGUAUCAGAGAGGAGUGGAGAGGUAGAGCAGUGGAGGAGUGAGAGUCAGUAUCAGAGAGGAGUGGAGAGGUAGGAGUGAGAGUCAGUAUCAGAGAGGAGUGGAGAGGUAGGAGUGAGAGUCAGUAUCAGAGAGGAGUGGAGAGGUAGGAGUGAGAGUCAGUAUCAGAGAGGAGUGGAGAGGAGUGAGUCAGUAUCAGAGAGGAGUGGAGAGGUAGAGCAGUGAAGGAGUGGAGAGAUAGGAAGGAGAGUCAGUAUCAGAGAGGAGUGGAGGGGCAGCAAAGGAGUGGAAAAAUAGAAGUAUGGCAGUGAAGGAGUAGAGAGUUAGAAGCAAAGGAAUUGAGAGAUACACUCUUAGAAAAAGGGUUCCUAAAGGGUUCUUCAGGUGUCCCCAUAGAAAAACACAUUUUGGUUCCAGGUAGAACCAAAACUCCUCUGUGGAAAGGGUUCUACCUGGAACCAAAACUAGUUCUUCAAAGGGUAGGGGACAGCCAAAGAACCCUUUUUAGGUUCUAGAUAGCACCUUUUCUCUAAGGGUGUAGAGCAGUGAAGGAGUGGAGAGGGAGUGAGAGUCAGUUUCAGAGGGGAGAGGUAGAGGAGCGCAGGAGUGGAGAGGUAGAUCACUGGUCAGUGUGGGUCAGUAAUAGCCCCGUGGUUAGUGGUGAUGAGAGGUGUAGUGGAGCGGUAGAGCAGCGUAGUAGUGGAGCGGUAGAGCAGCGUAGUAGUGGAGCGGUAGAGCAGCGUAGUAGUGGAGCGGUAGAGCAGCGUAGUAGUGGAGCGGUAGAGCAGCGUAGUAGUGGAGCGGUAGAGCAGCGUAGUAGUGGAGAGGUAGAGCAGCGUAGUAGUGGAGCGGUAGAGCAGCGUAGUAGUGGAGAGGUAGAGCAGCGUAGUAGUGGAGCGGUAGAGCAGCGUAGUAGUGGAGCGGUAGAGCAGCGUAGUAGUGGAGAGGUAGAGCAGCGUAGUAGUGGAGAGGUAGAGCAGCGUAGUAGUGGAGAGGUAGAGCAGCGUAGUAGUGGAGCGGUAGAGCAGCGUAGUAGUGGAGCGGUAGAGCAGCGUAGUAGUGGAGAGGUAGAGCAGCGUAGUAGUGGAGAGGUAGAGCAGCGUAGUAGUGGAGAGGUAGAGCAGCGUAGUAGUGGAGAGGUAGAGCAGUGUAGAGGUAGAUCAGCAUUCAGAGUGGGUCGGUAAUAACCCUGUGGUUAGUGGUGAUGAGAGGCCUGUCCUACUGUAACAGGAUCCCCCACCCCUCACUGUAUCGGACUGUACCCCAUUGUCUUCUAAUGAGACACCCUGGCACCCACUUACACACACAUUCCACAAACACACACACACACAGAGCGAGAGAGAGAGAGAGAGAGAGAGAGAGCCCUCUCUCGGUGAGGUCCCUCAAAACACACACAUAGUAUGUAAGAAUACACACAUAAACAUUCAGUACGCAUAUAUACACAUACAGAAUGCAUGCGCACACACAGACACACACACACAAACAUGCUCCCCCAUCCCUCUACUGCCAAUGUCCCCUCUCUCCAUCACAACACUCAGCUCGAACCUCCCUAAAUGCACCCUUCUCUUUCUUUCCACACAGAUUGGUUUCAGUCCCCACACCCCAACGGACCCUCUCCUCCCAUUGAGGAUCAAGAGAUGUAAACGAUAGCAACAACUUCACCUACUUUACACGGACUGUACAGUACCGUAGUUCACUAAACCCCAAAAAACCACUGCUACAACAGCACCUUGGGAAGGAGAACACGACACUGCACCUGAACACUACACUGUACCUGUAACUACACUAUGCCUGCCUACUAUACUACUCCCAUGUGAAGACAUGGCUUUCAGGACACUUGACAUAAAAUGGGGCCUAAAGAACAAGAAUACACAACUCCAAUGACUCUUCGGGUGUCAGGCAAGGUUACUCAUCAUACAUGCGCAAAGAAAACAUAAUGGCAGCCAUUUCCUGCAGUCAAUGACCAAAAGCGCACUCUUUGGCUUUGUGUGUGGAAUGUUAUUCAUAUUUUUCAUACUUUAAUCCAGAUUUUUAUUUUUUUUUGAAACGUCUAAAAUCUUGUGUUUCUAUGUCAAACUGUUUUGUUAUAUUUCAGUCUUCUUGCGAUGUGUAUAGAAAGUGUAAUAUUGGGAUGCAAACUCAAAAUUGAAUACAUUUUAACUCUAUAUCUGA